GACGAACGCUGGCGGCGUGCCUAAUACAUGCAAGUAGAACGCACAGUUUAUACCGUAGCUUGCUACACCAUAGACUGUGAGUUGCGAACGGGUGAGUAACGCGUAGGUAACCUGCCUGGUAGCGGGGGAUAACUAUUGGAAACGAUAGCUAAUACCGCAUAAUAUUAAUUAUUGCAUGAUAAUUAAUUGAAAGGUGCAAUUGCACCACUACCUGAUGGACCUGCGUUGUAUUAGCUAGUAGGUGAGGUAACGGCUCACCUAGGCGACGAUACAUAGCCGAACUGAGAGGGUGGUCGGCCGCCCUGGGAGUGAGACACGGCCCAGACGCCUACGGGAGGCAGCAGGAGGGAAUCUGCGGCAAGGGGCGAGAGUCUGACCGAGCAACGCCGCGUGAGUGAAGAAGAUUUUCGGAUCGUAAAGCUCUGUUGUAAGAGAAGAACGGGUGUGAGAGUGGAAAGUUCACACUGUGACGGUAUCUUACCAGAAAGGGACGGCUAACUACGUG
rnacentral:rRNA from 1 species